UAACUACUCCCUCCGUCCAGAAAUACUUGUCAUCAAAAUGGACAAAAAGGGAUGUAUCUAGAACUAAAAUACAUCUACAUACAUCCUCUUUUAUUUAUUUUGAUGACAAGUAUUUCCAGACGGAGGGAGUACUAA
rnacentral:pre_miRNA from 1 species